rnacentral:rRNA from 1 species
GGGCAGAUGAUUAGGGUGAAGUCGUAACAAGGUAGCCGUAGGAGAACCUGCGGCUGGAUCACCUCCUUUCUAAGGAA